UGUGUAGUGGUAAACGGAGGCGUUCUCGAAGUGUCCGUGGGGGACUCAAGCUUGGUGGCGGGCAGCCGGCGCUCCUUGAUCAGCAAUGACUGGGUGUGUCGUGCAGGCUUGCCUCCCGGCCGCACUUUCCCCGCGGUUGACGGCAGGAACUGUUGGGACCGGACCAAAGGCCUGGGAUGAAGUUGCUUGCCCUCACGGGCUUGUAGCUCCCGGUGUCCUGGCUUCGGGCCCGACGGGGUAUGAGUGGACUUGUAUAGCAAGCGACAGCCUGUUGCGGUUCACAUCUCUCUGCCGAGUAGGUUGGUG
rnacentral:rRNA from 1 species